CCACUUCCCAUCCGGCCUAUGCUGAGGCACAUCCUGCAAGGCAGCAGGUGACGCAAGCGCUGGACUCCCUGCCAUCCACACAGCAGAUCCGGAUGCAGGUCUGGGCUAUUCCCUGCCAUCUACACAGCAGAUCCGGAUGCAGGUCUGGGCUAUUCCCUGCCAUCUACACAGCAGAUCCGGAUGCAGGUCUGGGCUAUUCCCUGCCAUCUACACAGCAGAUCCGGAUGCAGGUCUGGGCUAUUCCCUGCCAUCUACACAGCAGAUCCGGAUGCAGGUCUGGGCUAUUCCCUGCCAUCUACACAGCAGAUCCGGAUGCAGGUCUGGGCUCCUGGCCUCAGCCUGGCCUCGCCAGGCCCACUGUGGACACUUGGGGACUGAACCAGCAGAUCGCAGAUCUCUUUAUAUGUGUCUUUCUCUGCCUUUCAAACAAUAUGAAAAUCAGUUAUUUAAAAAAAAUUACGGGAAGGUAUUCAUAGGGCUCCUGUUAAGAGCCAUGAACAUGGUGGACUGGAGCAUCCUAAGGGGCUGUGGGA